GACGAACGCUGGCGGCGUGCUUAACACAUGCAAGUCGAACGAUGAAGCACCAGCUUGCUGGUGUGGAUUAGUGGCGAACGGGUGAGUAACACGUGAGUAACCUGCCCCUCACUCUGGGAUAAGCCUGGGAAACUGGGUCUAAUACUGGAUACGACCGAUCUCCGCAUGGGGGGUUGGUGGAAAGUUUUUGUGGUGGGGGAUGGACUCGCGGCCUAUCAGCUUGUUGGUGGGGUAGUGGCCUACCAAGGCGACGACGGGUAGCCGGCCUGAGAGGGCGACCGGCCACACUGGGACUGAGACACGGCCCAGACUCCUACGGGAGGCAGCAGUGGGGAAUAUUGCACAAUGGGCGAAAGCCUGAUGCAGCGACGCCGCGUGAGGGAUGACGGCCUUCGGGUUGUAAACCUCUUUCACCAGGGACGAAGCUAACGUGACGGUACCUGGAGAAGAAGCACCGGCUAACUACGUG
rnacentral:rRNA from 1 species